AGGAAUGAGAAGUUCUAACGGGG
rnacentral:rRNA from 1 species